rnacentral:rRNA from 1 species
AUUGAACGCUGGCGGCAGGCCUAACACAUGCAAGUCGAACGAGCGGCGGGCGGGUGCGUAAUGUAUGGGGACUGCCCGUUAGAGGGGGAUCACUACUGGAAACGGUAGCUAAUCCCGCCUCCUAUCCGAUCACCCAUAGGGGAUUAGCUAGUAGGUGAGGUAAUGGCUCACCUAGGCGACGAUCCCUAGCUGGUCUUCGAGGAUGAUCAGCCAGACUGGGACUUAGACACGGCCCAGACUCCUACGGAGGCAGCAGUGGGGAAUAUUGCACAAUGGGCGCAAGCCUGACGCAGCCAUGCCGCGUGUAUGAAGAAGGCCUUAGGGUUGUAAAGUACUUUCGGUCGGGAGGCGUUACCGACAGAAGAAGCACCGGCUAACUACGUGCCAGCAGCCGCGGUAAUAC